rnacentral:piRNA from 1 species
AGAAAGAGACAGCUCUGAAACUAGCCAGUG